UCAGAUUCUUGAAUGAACUGAACUUCAGAGAAGAAAACAUAGCCUCGUUUGACUACUGCUUCUCCGGCUAAAACUAUGAGUAGACGCCGAGUUUCCUCGUCAGCUUGUCUGAAGUCUUGAGCUGAUAAGUGUUGUUCAAGAACGUCAAAUGGGGUGGUGGGGGUAGUGGGGGUGGUGGUGGGGGUGGUUGGGGUGGUGGAGGAAAGUGAAAAAGUGAUGAGAUUGUGAUUGGAAAAUGAAGUUGAAGAGGGGUUUUUGGUAAUUGGUUUGAGGAAAAAGGAAGAGGAAGAAAAAGGGCAAUCAAUAGAAUGCCUUCUCCUUAAUGUAUGGUGGUGAUGAAUGGACUUGAAAGAAUUAGUUGCCAUUUUCUUGAGAGUGAAUUGAGAUAGUUUCAACUUUCAAGGAAGAAGUGAA
rnacentral:lncRNA from 1 species